rnacentral:rRNA from 1 species
UGGGGAAUUUUGGACAAUGGGCGAAAGCCUGAUCCAGCAAUGCCGCGUGUGUGAAGAAGGCCUUCGGGUUGUAAAGCACUUUUGUCCGGAAAGAAAUCCUUGGCUCUAAUACAGUCGGGGGAUGACGGUACCGGAAGAAUAAGCACCGGCUAACUACGUGCCAGCAGCCGCGGUAAUACGUAGGGUGCAAGCGUUAAUCGGAAUUACUGGGCGUAAAGCGUGCGCAGGCGGUUUGCUAAGACCGAUGUGAAAUCCCCGGGCUCAACCUGGGAACUGCAUUGGUGACUGGCAGGCUAGAGUAUGGCAGAGGGGGGUAGAAUUUCACGUGUAGCAGUGAAAUGCGUAGAGAUGUGGAGGAAUACCGAUGGCGAAGGCAGCCCCCUGGGCCAAUACUGACGCUCAUGCACGAAAGCGUGGGGAGCAAACAGGAUUAGAUACCCUGGUAGUCCACGCCCUAAACGAUGUCAACUAGUUGUUGGGGAUUCAUUUCCUUAGUAACGUAGCUAACGCGUGAAGUUGACCGCCUGGGGAGUACGGUCGCAAGAUUAAAACUCAAAGGAAUUGACGGGGUCAUAGCUGUUUCCU